GGCGUGGUGGUGGAAAGGUUAACACGCCUGCUUUAAAUGGUUGCAUUCACCCUUUCUCAGUGGGAGAUCCCUUGUUCGAAUCAAGGUCUGGCCG